rnacentral:ncRNA from 2 species
CAAGGUUGGAAGGGCCAAGGUUCCCGCGGGUUUCGGUCCGUGGGCGAAGAGGGAAUUCGGUGGGCUCUCCGGAGCGAGGCCGAAGCUGCCCCCGCAACUGUGAGCGGCGAGCCCCUGCCGUCCGGGUCACUGGUGCCACGCACCGGGAAGGCCAGGCCGGGGUGCGGACCCGCGAGCCAGGAGACCUGCCUUGGGCAACGAAACGUC